UCCUUAAUAGCUUAGUGGUAGAGCGGUCGGCUGUUAACCGAUUGGUCGUAGGUUCGAAUCCUACUUGGGAAG
rfam:Capsicum annuum cultivar Zunla-1 chromosome 1, whole genome shotgun sequence